AAGAAAUGGAAUGAGGGCAGAAUGGCCUCACUGACCUUGUCCUUGACCCUAGCAGGAGGCAUCUCCAAGUUUGCCAGCCUGGAGAACAUCCCCCAGAGAGCCCAGAAGAGACAGCAGAAGCUACAACUUGUCCUGCCGGGGGAGCUCCUGUCCUAUUUGGCCAACAGAACAUUCAAGGCCCAAAAGAACCCACCAUCAAGAAGCUCAGGGACAGGCAGCUACCAAGCCCCCAACGGAGCCCAGUACCAGAGGCAGAUCACACCCCAGGGACCAGCUCCAGUGAGACCUCUUCCUCAGCACCUGGGACCCUCGGAGUACACUAGGCCAGCUAUCCCAUUGGAGGCAAAGAACAUUGUGAAGAAAUGGGGCUCCCCUGAGGGCCGGAAUAAGAGGAGGUGACCCUGCUUCAUCUCCUUCUUUGCUUUUCCCCAAGGCCUAUUUACCUGUUAUGAAAGGUUAUAUCUAUUUGUAGCAAAUGCUGGAUUUGAAUACUAUUAUCU
rnacentral:lncRNA from 1 species